rnacentral:rRNA from 1 species
AGUGAACGCUGGCGGUAGGCCUAACACAUGCAAGUCGAACGGCAGCGCAGGAGAGCUUGCUCUCUAGGUGGCGAGUGGCGGACGGGUGAGGAAUACAUCGGAAUCUGCCCAGUCGUGGGGGAUAACGUAGGGAAACUUACGCUAAUACCGCAUACGACCUUCGGGUGAAAGAGGGGGAUCGCAAGACCUCUCGCGAUUGGAUGAGCCGAUGUCGGAUUAGCUAGUUAGCGGGGUAAUGGCCCACCAAGGCGACGAUCCGUAGCUGGUCUGAGAGGAUGAUCAGCCACACUGGAACUGAGACACGGUCCAGACUCCUACGGGAGGCAGCAGUGGGGAAUAUUGGACAAUGGGCGCAAGCCUGAUCCAGCCAUACCGCGUGGGUGAAGAAGGCCUUCGGGUUGUAAAGCCCUUUUGUUGGGAAAGAAAUCUUUCAGGCUAAUACCCUGGGAGGAUGACGGUACCCAAAGAAUAAGCACCGGCUAACUUCGUG